rnacentral:rRNA from 1 species
GCCCUUCGGGGUGGAUUAGUGGCGAACGGGUGAGUAACACGUGGGCAAUCUGCCCUGCACUCUGGGACAAGCCCUGGAAACGGGGUCUAAUACCGGAUAUGACCGUCCAUCGCAUGGUGGAUGGUGUAAAGCUCCGGCGGUGCAGGAUGAGCCCGCGGCCUAUCAGCUAGUUGGUGAGGUAGUGGCUCACCAAGGCGACGACGGGUAGCCGGCCUGAGAGGGCGACCGGCCACACUGGGACUGAGACACGGCCCAGACUCCUACGGGAGGCAGCAGUGGGGAAUAUUGCACAAUGGGCGAAAGCCUGAUGCAGCGACGCCGCGUGAGGGAUGACGGCCUUCGGGUUGUAAACCUCUUUCAGCAGGGAAGAAGCGAAAGUGACGGUACCUGCAGAAGAAGCGCCGGCUAACUACGUGCCAGCAGCCGCGGUAAUACGUAGGGCGCAAGCGUUGUCCGGAAUUAUUGGGCGUAAAGAGCUCGUAGGCGGCUUGUCACGUCGGUUGUGAAAGCCCGGGGCUUAACCCCGGGUCUGCAGUCGAUACGGGCAGGCUAGAGUUCGGUAGGGGAGAUCGGAAUUCCUGGUGUAGCGGUGAAAUGCGCAGAUAUCAGGAGGAACACCGGUGGCGAAGGCGGAUCUCUGGGCCGAUACUGACGCUGAGGAGCGAAAGCGUGGGGAGCGAACAGGAUUAGAUACCCUGGUAGUCCACGCCGUAAACGGUGGGCACUAGGUGUGGGCAACAUUCCACGUUGUCCGUGCCGCAGCUAACGCAUUAAGUGCCCCGCCUGGGGAGUACGGCCGCAAGGCUAAAA